rnacentral:rRNA from 1 species
UACGUAGGGUGCAAGCGUUGUCCGGAAUUAUUGGGCGUAAAGAGCUCGUAGGCGGUUUGUCGCGUCGGCUGUGAAAACCUGGGGCUCAACCCCGGGCCUGCAGCCGAUACGGGCAAACUAGAAUUCGGUAGGGGAGACUGGAAUUCCUGGUGUAGCGGUGAAAUGACGCAGAUAUCAGGAGGAACACCGGUGGCGAAGGCGGGUCUCUGGGCCGAUAUUGACGCUGAGGAGCGAAAGCGUGGGGAGCAAACAGG